UACGUAGGGACCAAGCGUUGUUCGGAUUUACUGGGCGUAAAGGGCGCGUAGGCGGCGCGGUAAGUCACUUGUGAAAUCUCUGAGCUUAACUCAGAACGGCCAAGUGAUACUGCAGUGCUAGAGUGUGGAAGGGGCAAUCGGAAUUCUUGGUGUAGCGGUGAAAUGCGUAGAUAUCAAGAGGAACACCUGAGGUGAAGACGGGUUGCUGGGCCAACACUGACGCUGAGGCGCGAAAGCCAGGGGAGCAAACGGA
rnacentral:rRNA from 1 species